rnacentral:rRNA from 1 species
AGAGUUUGAUCCUGGCUCAGAUUGAACGCUGGCGGCAGGCUUAACACAUGCAAGUCGAGCGGGGGAAAGUAGCUUGCUACUGGACCUAGCGGCGGACGGGUGAGUAAUGCUUAGGAACCUGCCUAUUAGUGGGGGACAACAUUCCGAAAGGAAUGCUAAUACCGCAUACGUCCUACGGGAGAAAGCAGGGGACCUUCGGGCCUUGCGCUAAUAGAUGAGCCUAAGUCGGAUUAGCUAGUUGGUGGGGUAAAGGCCUACCAAGGCGACGAUCUGUAGCGGGUCUGAGAGGAUGAUCCGCCACACUGGGACUGAGACACGGCCCAGACUCCUACGGGAGGCAGCAGUGGGGAAUAUUGGACAAUGGGGGGAACCCUGAUCCAGCCAUGCCGCGUGUGUGAAGAAGGCCUUAUGGUUGUAAAGCACUUUAAGCGAGGAGGAGGCUACUAGUAUUAAUACUACUGGAUAGUGGACGUUACUCGCAGAAUAAGCACCGGCUAACUCUGUGCCAGCAGCCGCGGUAAUACAGAGGGUGCGAGCGUUAAUCGGAUUUACUGGGCGUAAAGCGUGCGUAGGCGGCCAUUUAAGUCAAAUGUGAAAUCCCCGAGCUUAACUUGGGAAUUGCAUUCGAUACUGGAUGGCUAGAGUAUGGGAGAGGAUGGUAGAAUUCCAGGUGUAGCGGUGAAAUGCGUAGAGAUCUGGAGGAAUACCGAUGGCGAAGGCAGCCAUCUGGCCUAAUACUGACGCUGAGGUACGAAAGCAUAGGGAGCAAACAGGAUUAGAUACCCUGGU